CAAGAACCCCUUUACCAUAAUAAAAUAUGAAUUUAUUUCUGCAAAUUAAAAUAAGUUCAUUCUAACAUAUGGCAACAUACACACAAAGGCUAUCCUUGCUCAUACCCACAAGAGCCUCAGCUUAUCCUUCUCACUUCAAGCACAUUUGGUCUUUUGACAUCUUCCAGUUGUGUCUUCUGAGCGUCUUGGGAGAAGGUGACCCAGUUUUAUUUUAUGACUACAGAAAAUGUAAGCUCUAGGGCCAUG